GCUGACACAUUCCAGCCAAUCAGCAGCAGACCCUCCCUCCCAGACCCUCCCACCUCCUGGAAAGCAUCCAUUUUGAAGCUGCAUUCUUAGUGAGCUGUCCAGGAGGUGGGAGGGUCUGGGAGGGAGGGUCUGCUGCUGAUUGACUGGAAUGUGUCAG